UGAAUACGAGAUGCUACGGCGUCGAAGCAGUGUAUGUCAGACUUCCAAGAAAAGCUCGCAAUGUCAUAAAUAAAGAAUGCCUGUACCAUAACCGACACAGGUGGGUAGGUAGAGUAUACUAAGGGGCGCGAGAUAACUCUCUCUAAGGAACUCGGCAAUAUAACUCCGUAACUUCGGGAGAAGGAGUGCCUUCUUUAAGAAGGUUGCAAUAACAAGAUCCAAGCAACUGUUUAUCAAAAACACAGGUCUCCGCUAAGUCGUAAGACGAUGUAUGGGGGCUGACGCCUGCCCAGUGCCAGAAGGUUAAAGAAGUUGGUUAGCUUUUGCGAAGCUGAUGACUGAAGCCCUGGUGAACGGCGGCCGUAACUAUAACGGUCCUAAGGUAGCGAAAUUCCUUGUCGGGUAAGUUCCGACCCGCACGAAAGGCGUAAUGAUUUGGAUACUGUCUCGGAGAGGGACUCGGUGGAAUAGACUUGUCUGUGAAGAUGCGGACUACCUGCACCAGGACAGAAAGACCCUAUGAAGCUUUACUGUAGCUUGAAAUUGAAAUUGGACUUUAUUUGCGCAGUAUAGGUGGAAGGCGUUGAAAGUAAUCUUGCGGGAUUAGUGGAGCCAUCAGUGAGAUACCACUCCUAUAAUGUUAGAUUUCUAACUUUGGAUCAUGAUCUGGUCAAAGAACAGUUUCAGGCGGGCAGUUUGACUGGGGCGGUCGCCUCCCAAAUGGUAACGGAGGCGUACAAAGGUUUCCUCUGAACGGGUAGAAAUCGUAUCUAGAGUGUAAAGGCAUAAGGAAGCUUGACUGUGAGACCUACAAGUCGAGCAGGGACGAAAGUCGGUCUUAGUGAUCUGACGGUGCUGAGUGGAAAGGCCGUCACUCAACGGAUAAAAGUUACUCUAAGGAUAACAGGCUGAUCUCCCCCAAGAGUUCACAUCGGCGGGGAGGUUUGGCACCUCGAUGUCGGCUCAUCGCAUCCUGGGGCGGUAGUACGUCCCAAGGGUUGGGCUGUUCGCCCAUGAAAGCGGUACGCGAGCUGGGUUCAGAACGUCGUGAGACAGUUCGGUCCAUAUCCGGUGUAGGCGUUAGAAUAUUGAGAGGAGCCUUCUUUAGUACGAGAGGACCGAGAAGGACAUACCUCUGGUGUACCAGUUAUCGUGCCAACGGUAAACGCUGGGUAGCUAUGUAUGGAGAGGAUAACCGCUGAAAGCAUCUAAGUGGGAAGCCCACCUCAAGAUGAGUAUUCUCAU
rnacentral:rRNA from 1 species